AACAGCAGCAUCUGCUGCAACUAUUGGUUUAGAGUUAAUCUCAUAACUUGCUACUUCCUUUCUCUGAUUUGUCUCCACUACGCCUACAAGCAUUCUGGUCACCACAUUCUCUCGUCUUCCAUCAUAUGCUUUCCAGCAGUUACAGCAACUAAAUCUAUCAACACGGGUAGGAUAUUCUCUGCAACAUUCAAAAAUCGUUCAUGAAGACUUUAUACAAUAAUUCCAUGACGUUGACAAUUCAAUAUCCUGAGAACUGGUUCUAUGAAAUGGGAGAUGAUGGAUAGAUAUUCCAGUCUGCCUAUUCACACAAACUAAUGUGUUUCUUCCAGCACCAACAUCGACCACAACUUCAACAACAACAUCGACAACGACCCCAACUUCAACAACAGCAUCGACAACGACUCCGAUUUCAACAACAGCAUCAACAUAUCAGACAACUACUUCAACUUCAACAGGUAAUAAGUUAGCAAUAAAAAUGUGUGAUUUGCAUGAUCCUCCCAAGUCUAUGAAUCAUUCAAUUCCCAAAUAUCCCAUUCAUGAACAUGGACACUUAAGGACGUAAAUUAAUUAAACAAGCAGCGUGCACAUUCGUUUCAUAAUCAUAAAACCUACUGCACCAAUAAUUUAAUGUUUUUUUGGAAAGCCAAACUGGCUUUAUCCAUUGAAACGUAGACUAGUUGGUUGGCAACUUUCAUUCGGGGUCCUCUUGACAUUAAACAAUACCUCAUCACUGCAUCAAUUGAAAAUUUCUUGUGAAAAACAGGGUGACUAUUUCCACGUUGAUAUUGGCAAAACAAGAUCCCAGUGGGUUCAUUGAAUACUGUCCUCUUGUUUACUCCAGUAAUAUAAAAGCAAGCCCAUAUUCCUUAGGGGUUGGACAGGCUAGAUGCAGGAAGAUUGUUCCCGAUGUUGGGGAAGUCCAGGACAAGGGGUCACAGCUUAAGGAUAAGGGGGAAAUCCUUUAAAACUGAGAUGAGAAGAACUUUUUUCACACAGAGUGUUGAAUCUCUGGAACUCUCUGCCACAGAGGGUAGUCAAGGCCAGUUCAUUGGCUAUAUUUAAGAGGGAGUUAGAUGUGGCCCUUGUGGCUAAGUGGAUCAGAGGGUAUGGAGAGAAGGCAGGUACAGAGUUGGAUGAUCAGCCAUGAUCAUAUUGAAUGGCGGUGCAGGCUCGAAGGGCCGAAUGGCCUGCUCCUGCACCUAAUUUCUAUGUUUCUAUGU